GAUUGCCCUAGGCCUUGUCCUCUUCCUGGAUGCAGCUGUCUCCAGUAACUGGCAGGAUGGAAAGCUUUACCUCGCCAUAGAACACCCUGUGUCUUACACUUCCUUCUAAGGUGGAUGCUCCAGGAAAUUGCUACACAAUGCUGCGUUAUAAGAUCUCAGCCUACAGCCGUGUAACAUCUGGAACAAAUCCUCAACGCCCAGACAUCACACUCACUUAAGUCAGGCAUCUUUAUUUCACAAGUCAAAGUGUCAGCAGACAAAAAGCCAAGCCUUCUGCAAGGAAUCUUCUCCCCAAAACCAUAGCACAUACAGAUCCCUCCAGUCUCCACCGCAUCCUUCUUUACCCACGUCAGCUUCUGGGCCAGUUACUCAAAGGCUGUAAAGUUCUGCUUGAGGACUAGGGUAGGUGUUACACAAUCCUCCCAUAAACUUUCUCUCC